CAGUGUGAUGAUAAAUUGGGGAGGCUGCACCAGACUGACUCGAGAAUGAUGUAGUGAAAGAACGCCCAGCACCGUCUGGAA
rfam:Cicer arietinum chromosome Ca1, whole genome shotgun sequence.